CCUGCCUUUGUUUUCUGGUUACAUGAAUAAGUAUAAUUUAUAGGCAUAAUUUGUUUUGUGGAGUGUUUUAGAUGAGAACUUUUGACUAAUCUAUUAAUGAAUUUACACCUUCUUUCUUCUUUUCUUCACCAGAGGAACUCCCUCAGCUCACUGUCUUCAUCCAAUAUACAACUGGCGUCACAAAAUGGAGGCAGGAUAAUCAGAAGAUCAACUGGAAGAGUUGUGAAGAGAUGAUUCAGUCUGCUGUGGAAUAUCUGAGAAUAAAUAUGAAGAAGAAUGUUGUUCUUGUUCGCGUGAAUAUAACCGACUGUGAGACUGGAAACAGCAGAUCAGAGAACAUUGUGAGCGACAUAAAUCAGUGCAGCUAUAAUAAUGACACGAACUGCACUACAGUAUACUCUAAAAUACUCCAAAUGUAUGAGUCACUCAACUGGAAGAGAAAGUAUGAAGACUGGCUCAAGAAAUCCCAGGAGUAUUGCAGAAACGCACAAAAAGAGAAAAUCCGAGAUUCAAGCCCAGAAUUUCUGCUGGCGACCAUUUUGCCUGGAGUUCUGCUGGUGUCCGUGGUUAUCUUCAUCUAUAUUAAGAUGAGAGUAACUGGUGAGUAUAUAAUUUACUUUAUAAUCAGUACAAUCCAAAAAUUGCCAAUGAAAUUCACAGGGAAUUCAGCAUCAAUAAUCCAAACAAAUCCUUUAAACUGCCAAACUCCAAAAGUAUUGGAACAUUGAGGUCAGAAGACACUGUAGCAGCUUCUGUCUGAACCCAUGCAUUUUUCUUGUGAGAAAAGUUUUGGAACUGUGACUGUCAGAUGUGUUUGUUUCCCAGAUGUGUCAUGAUAUGAAUUGUUUUCAACUAUUCAGCUAUUUUCUGGUCUAUUUUAAUACACAAGACGAACCACAUUACAAAUUGCAUUAAGUGACACU
rnacentral:lncRNA from 1 species